GGUAUCAAACCGACCAACAAACCGACGCAGAGUUGUUGGGGAAUUUCGUACAUUAUUUGAACGAUAUGAUAACGAGGUACGAUAAUCCCGCCACAACUACGAUUUCAAUAAGAUAACUAAAACCGUUCUCACAUUUCCAAGUGCAUUCUGAACAGAUUAUAGCAGAAAAUGUUGCGAAAAAUCACUUGUAUAUCAAUAUCAAUUAUAGUUGUGCUCUUAUUAAUUCAUACGUGUUGUGUUGAAGCAACGCCAGCUAAGAGGAGAUACGGCCCACCUCUAUGGAGAAUACUCAGGAAAAAAAAUAGUGCUAAUAUGGAAUGUUUGGAUAGUGGUCUCAAAAUGGCAAUGGCAUUCAUGUUAUCCUACCAAAUAUAUAAUAUGAAUUUCUAUGAGUUAUGAGAAAAAUUAUCACUGCAAGAGCUCCUUUCACAGCCUUAGAAGAAUCAUAUCAUUUAUGUUCAGUCAAUCUCCAGAGAUUUGAAUCGAAAUUCGAACAAAUCGAAAAGACAGGACCUUUUUUUCGGCUUCAUUCUUCCAUCAGCCCACAAAACUAAUAAAGCAGGCUAUUCCGUUCUAAAAUAUUGAACUUAGGAGAUUAAAUGGAAUUCAAAUUAUGUCAAUGAAAAAUUUUCAAUAAUUUUGUUUUUUCUUUAAUAUAUUUAUUUUUCCUGGACGGCAGUCAAUUCAAUGAAAAAUAAAUAUUUGAAAAAAUCUUA